rnacentral:rRNA from 1 species
CCUACGGGAGGCAGCAGUAGGGAAUCUUCCACAAUGGACGAAAGUCUGAUGGAGCAACGCCGCGUGUGUGAUGAAGGGUUUCGGCUCGUAAAACACUGUUGUAAGAGAAGAAUGACAUUGAGAGUAACUGUUCAAUGUGUGACGGUAUCUUACCAGAAAGGAACGGCUAAAUACGUGCCAGCAGCCGCGGUAAU